GACAGAGGUUGCAAACGUUGUUCGGAAUUACUGGGCAUAAAGCGCACGUAGGCGGUUCGUUAAGUCAUGUGUGAAAUCCCUCGGCUCAACCGAGGAAUUGCGCCUGAUACUGGCGGGCUAGAGAUCGGUAGGGGUGAGUGGAACUCCAGGUGGAGCGGUGAAAUGCGUAGAUAUCUGGAGGAACACCGGUGGCGAAAGCGGCCCCCUGGUUGGAUACUGACGCUGAUACGCGAAAGCGUGGGGAGCAAACAGG
rnacentral:rRNA from 1 species